UACGAAGGGGGCUAGCGUUGCUCGGAAUCACUGGGCGUAAAGCGCACGUAGGCGGAUUUGUAAGUCAGGGGUGAAAUCCCGGGGCUCAACCUCGGAACUGCCUUUGAUACUGCAAAUCUCGAGUCCGGAAGAGGUGAGUGGGAAUUCCUAGUGUAGAGGUGAAAAUUCGUAGAUAUUAGGAAGAACACCAGUGGCGAAAGGCGGCUCACUGGUCCGGUACUGACGCUGAGGUGCGAAAGCGUGGGGAGCAAACAGG
rnacentral:rRNA from 1 species